UACGUAGGGCGCAAGCGUUGUCCGGAAUUAUUGGGCGUAAAGAGCUCGUAGGCGGUUUGUCGCGUCUGGUGUGAAAACUCGAGGCUCAACCUCGAGCCUGCUUCCGAUACGGGCAGACUAGAGGUAGGCAGGGGAGAGCGGAACUCCUGGUGUAGCGGUGGAAUGCGCAGAUAUCAGGAAGAACACCGGUGGCGAAGGCGGGUCUCUGGGCCGAUACUGACGCUGAGGAGCGAAAGCGUGGGGAGCGAACAGG
rnacentral:rRNA from 1 species